rnacentral:lncRNA from 1 species
CUUGGCUCCUCUUUCCUCAGCUGCUGGUUGCUCAGCUCCUGCCCCUCCCCACUUUAAUCACCAUCUCUCAGUUCUUUUUCCCCUUUGGCACUCCCAUUUUGUUUCUCACAGAAACCCACUGGAAGGAGCUGUUCAGGGGCACGGUGACUUGGGAAGGCCUUUUAAAAGGCAACGACAGUGCUGUGGCAGCCGAGUUACCUCAUCAGAAGUCUCCAGAUAUUGAUCUAAAUCACAUUUCCACUCAGAGCUUGCAGUGGUCAUAUUGGAGUUGUACUUUUAGUUAGCUCCUUCAGAAAGUGGGUUGGUACAAGAUAUCACAGCUUUAAUCCACGGAUUUAGGAAUUUUCCUGUUCCUAUGGAAGACUCUAAUCUUCCUGUACAAUAAAACAACUUAAUAAGCUGUACA